UACAGAGGGUGCGAGCGUUAAUCGGAAUUACUGGGCGUAAAGGGCGCGUAGGCGGUUAAUUAAGUUGGAUGUGAAAUCCCUGGGCUUAACCUAGGAACUGCAUACAAGACUGGUUAACUGGAGUGCUGUAGAGGGUAGUGGAAUUUCCGGUGUAGCGGUGAAAUGCGUAGAUAUCGGAAGGAACACCAGUGGCGAAGGCGGCUACCUGGACAGACACUGACGCUGAGGCGCGAAAGCGUGGGGAGCAAACAGG
rnacentral:rRNA from 1 species